AACGGCAUCGUGCGGUGGAGUCGUGUCUGGUUUUUGUAACGACAGGUCGUGUGAAGGUUCCAAAAUCCUUAAACCCUCUUUUUGAUCCCAAAAUUAUUGAAAAGUAGAAAUGUUUUUCGAGAAAAAUGAUAAAUAAGCUUAGUUUCCCACUCAAAUCUUCAAGGGUAUUUUUCUCCACUAAAACCCAAAUCCAAUAUUUUCCCAAAAACUCUUCAUUGUAUCAUCAGAUUGUAAACUUAAAAGAUCCAAAAGCCUCAGUUAUACCAGUUCUUGAUCAAUGGGUCAAUGAAGGAAAUACUGUUAGGAAAGCUCUACUUCGAUCUCUCGUUAACCUCAUGAAGGGUUUCAACCGCUUCAACCAUGCUUUACAGAUAUCACAAUGGAUGGCUGAUCGUCCAAACCUGACAUUAUCACCUAGUGAUGUUGUCGUUAGGCUGGAGUUAGUCCAUAGAAUUUAUGGAUCAGCACAUGCAGAAAAGUACUUCGAGAAACUCCCUGAUAAGUUCAAAUGCAGAGAAGUCUAUUGUGCUCUUCUCAGUGGCUACGUGCAAGAAAGUUCUGUUCGGAAAGCAGAAGCAAUUAUGGAGGAAAUGAGAGCGAAGGGAAUGGCAAAUUCAUGUUUUCCUUACAAUUUGCUGAUCAACCUUUACCCUAAAAAUGGAGAUUAUGAGAAGAUCAACAUGUUGAUACAGGAAAUGGAAACAAAUGGAGUCGUUCGAGGUGCAUACACAAUGAGCAACUUAAUGGCUGCUUAUGUUGCUGCAUCUAACAUUUCUGGGAUGGAACGAAUAUUGAAUCAAAUAGAAAAGGAUCCCCAACUUGGUAAUGACUGGAGAGUGUACUCAGUGGCCGCAAGUGGCUAUCUGAAAUUUGGGUUGAUUGAAAAAGCUUUGACAAUGUUAAGGAAAUUGGAGGACGUGAUGCCCCUUGAAAAGAAGACUUCGGCUUUUGAUAUUCUUGUUACUCUAUAUGGAAAGACUGGUAAAAGGGAUGAGCUUUACCUAGUUUGGAAUACAUAUAAGCCAUUGAUUGAGUUGAAGGAGACAUCAGUUAUGACCAUGAUUAGUUCUCUCUCGAAGCUGGAUGAUAUUAAGGGUGCUGAAAAGAUCUUUAGGGAGUGGGAGUCCCAGUGCAUGAUGUAUGACUUUCGCGUACUAAAUACACUUCUUUUUGCUUAUUGCAGAAAGGGGCUUCUUAAGAAGGCUGAAGCGGCUGUAGAGAAAGCUGCUAAGGAUAGAACACCUUGUGCAAGCAGUUGGGGUAUAUUGGCGAUGGGGUACAUAGAACAUAAUCAAAUGUAUAAGGCAGUUGAAAUGUUGAAGAAAGCACUAUCUAUUUCAGGACAAGGCUGGAGGCCAAAUUCCAUGACCUUGACUGCCUGUUUGAACUUCUUGGAAAAACAAGGGGAUGUUGAAGGAGUGGAGGAAGUUACAAAAUUACUAAAGAGCUUGGAACCUUUGAAUGAAGUCACUAAAGAGCUUGGAAACUUUGAUGAGGGAUAUAAUAUAUGGAUUAAUGAGGAUGUAUAGUGCUGCUGGAAGACCAGUCACCAAGGUGCAUGACCAGAUGAAGAUGGGUGCUUUUGUUGCUAAUGGAGAUACACACAAGAUCUGUGAUCAAGAUGGGAGACAAUAACCAGAAUUUUAAUGAAGAGCUACCUACAGCUUUGGAGUUCACAAGCAAAGAUGUGAAAGCAGUUCCUCCAUUUGAAGUGGUGAUGAUCUUUCUCCAAUGGGAUGAUGCUAUCAGUACUUGAGAUAAUCUCUGAGCAAUAUCACACAGUUUGAACACCGAGGCUUAACCACUUUUGGGUCACUGAGUUCAUCUUCUGGAAUGGGGUUAAUAUCAUAGAAGGUAUUUGAUAAGAUUUUGUGUAGAGAGUGAGAAAGGGCCUGAUUCCACCUCUUGGCAUCAUUUGGCGGCUGGAUAUCAUAUAGGUGGUCGGAUGAUAAAAGCAACAGAAACAAUGAAGAAAGCAAUUUUAAAAAGUAAAUCCAGAUGGAAGCCGAGGUUGCAUACAUAUAAUGGUAGCCUGUAUUCAGUAUCUGAAAGAGCAGGGGGAUGUAGGAACUGCAGAAAAGCUCUUGAAGAUGAUUAAGGAGCGUGGUGGAUAUUCAGAAAGUGCUUAUGAUGAAUUAGCAAGUUGUAAAAGAAAUUCUAACCUUGCAACCAUUGCCCUAUAUCAGGUGGAAGACGAUAAUCAGAAUUUUGGUGAAGAACUGCCUAUAGCCUUGGAGUUCACUGUCUAGGGAAGCAUCUGACGUUAGUUAUUAUAGUCCUGCUUGAAAUCACUGUUAGAUGAUCAAGGAUAUGUUCUAAUGCAGUUGCUAAUCGCUAAGUUGCUAUUAGUUGCUAAUCACUAGAGAUUUAUACUUGGAAUAUGUUCCAAUACAGUUGCUAAUCACUGAGUUGCUAUAAGUUGUAUGUGAAGGGAGUUUCUCCAUUAUUUUUUGGAAA